UGUGCAAGAUCGUGCCUUAUAACUUCACGUAAACUCUAUUCAUCUUUGUAUGAUCCAAACGAAAAGACUUUUGAAAAACUCCUUAUUGCCAACAGAGGAGAGAUUGCAUGCAGAGUCAUCAAAACAUGUAAGAAGAUGGGGAUUAAAACAGUUGCCAUACACAGUGAUGUUGAUGCCAAUGCGGUUCAUGUGAAAAUGGCGGAUGAAGCUGUCUGCGUUGGCCCAGCUCCCACCAGCAAAAGCUACCUCAACAUGGAUGCCAUCAUGGAAGUCAUUAAGAAAACCAGGGCCCAAGCUGUACACCCAGGAUAUGGAUUUCUUUCAGAAAAUAAAGA
rnacentral:lncRNA from 1 species